AACUGUAAACACUCAACCAAAAAAUACAGAAGUAGAUAAAAGCUCAUAAGUCCCCUUUUUUAUCUAACCAGAUUCAUUUUACAUUAGUUACUACCGGGACUAGGUGGAUUAUUCCCUUUAUACAUAUGCGCAACGUUUGGAAAGUCAUAUAAACAACAUUUAAUAAAAGAACUUUCAUAGAAGACAACGUGCCAAUCUGAAGGGGAAUUUCGAAGAGGACGGUGUUCCGAACAUAUAUUCGGAGCUUUUAAACAACAAUAGGCAUUUAUUUCGAUUAAUUAACACUUAUUUUAAUUCUCUAAUGCACUCUUCUUAUAUUACAGGAAAAUUUUAUCUUCGAAGUCAUCACUGCGGUGGAGCGUUAAAAUAAUUACACAAAAAUGAAGAUAUUCAUCGUACAGACACACAAAACAAAUUUUUUCGACAUUCAUUGCAUUUUAUGAAUGCAGAUUUCUCGCACGUACAUCGGUAUUUCAAAUUGUUAGAUUUAACAACAAACCUUGGAGAUUUUCUUCUUUUUGAACGCCUUAAAUGACUACUUUUUAAAAUAUAUGUAUACAUGCAUUUAUGAAGGUGAAGACGAUAUUGUUACGCUAGUAGUUCAUACUUUGUUCUUUCGUGGCGCUGCAGUUGUACAUGCUUCGAAUUCAAAAUGGUGGACAGCGUUUCCACUAGAUACGUGAUAACAACAAUAAAAACGUGUUUAUAUAAAAGAAAAAAAUUUUUCCGCACCUUUGUCAUCGUCGUAAAAUAGUACUAUCGAUCAAUAAUGUCUUUGUGUAAAAUUAAUUUCUUAUAUGACGAUAACUCUUAUGGAAAUACGCAUGUGCCUUAUGUAGCAAAACAUCUUAUUUAUAUAUAAUAUUUAUUUAUUAUCAAAAUGUGUAAUGAUGGGUCAAGCGAUUAUGAAUGUCAGCAAUUAAAAAAAAGAUUUUAUAAAAAUGCCUUUGUACUUGAUCAAACAAAUACUAAUGAGGUUAUUUAUCAGAGAGAAGAAAUUAUGAGUGAUUAUGUUGAAUCAAAUAAUAUAUCUGAAAUCAAUACAACUACUUCAACAGUGCCUUCUAAAAUAUCUAAUAAGGAUAGUUUGGAAAAAAUGAUUAAAAACAAUGUACCAAUUAAACCGAACGACAGAAACGUACCUGAUUUCUUAGAAGAAAAUCAAAGCGAAGAACAACUUAAUAUUUGCUACGAAAAGAGACAUAAUAUGGAAUCAAAAGGUACACAGACAAAUAAUCACUUCAUAAAAGAUUAUCCGCAGCAUUAUUUGGUAGACAACAUGGAUCAUCAAAAUAUUUAUAGAUACAAUCCAAGAUUAAUACAAUAUAAUCAAGAAUUAGCAUUAACAAAAUCACAUUUAUACAAUGUCCAUUCUAAUUAUAAAAAAUUAAAAUCUCGAUUUCACAAAUUACACGGAGAUUAUCAUAAACUUUUAAGUAUUGCUGCGGAAUUAACAGCAGUUCUUGAAAAUUCAGUAAAAGGACAACCUGUUGAUCUGCAAGGAAUGUUAGAGUCUUGUAUGAAAAUAUUUCCUGAUUUAUUUAAUCAAAACAUUAGAGAUGAAUUGCACGUAAAAGUACAACCGUCCAGUGAUACAAAUAAACGUGAUAUUCAGCCUAAUUUUAAUAUCAUUAACAUAUCACCAAAGCUGUUAGAUUUUAAAAAGAUUAAAUUACAUUUAAUAAAUGGAAAUGUUAAGACAAAAUUACUUCUCUUACAAGCCUUACGAUGGAAAAUUACUUUAAGUCAACCUGGAGAAUGCGAUGAAUCUAUACAUGAAUAUAUAAGUAGAGAUUUAUUAGGAUUGCAUGGUCAGAUUGCCAGCGAUAAUGGAAAAUCAAUUUUACCAUAUUUACUAACACCAAAAAAUGUUCCAAUGCCGCAUCCAUUGCAACAAUCAGCAGCUAGAUUGUUAAAUACUUUUGCAUCGUUACAAUGUGGCAGAGAUUAUUUAUCCAUGGAUUCAUCAGUAGUUAAAGUGAUAUUUAACUGCCUCAAUGACAACUACCAAGAUGGAGUAGAUUCUCUAACUUAUGAUAUGACACUAUCAACUUUACAAAAAUUAUCAUUGCGCAAGCAACAAAGAUUAUAUAUGAUAGAUAGCGGAUUGUUGGAAUGGUUGAUUUAUCAUCUGCACAAUGAAAGUAAUACUAUGAGUUUUUAUAGAUUAAAAUAUGCGACAGCUCUUUUAAUGAAUUUAUCAUUGCAUAAGCAAGCUCAAAUUAGAAUAUCUACUAAAGCAUCAUUACUCAUAUCAACUCUUAUAAUGCUUCUGGGAAUUGAUCAUCCUUCUGUAUCACCAUAUGUUAAUGGAGCGUUAAACAAUUUUCUUGUAAAUGAUCAAAUAAACAAUGAAGCAGAACAUGCCAAUCUUUCAUCCGUAUUGGAAGAAUUAUGUUCAAAUAAAAUUGGAGAAAUGAAGAAAUAUCUGGAACACAUACUGAAAGUACACAAACGUGAAUGCGCUAUCGACAUAGAAGAUGAAACUAUUUCUGAUAAUGAUAAUGAAGAAUUUGAUGUAUUGGAAAAUGAAUUGGAGGAGAACGAUCCUGUUAAAAAUCAUAGAACAGAAUUAUACGGAGAAGUAUUGCUGUCAACGUGUUACAUGAUUACACCGAGUGCAUUUCAAAAUGAAUCUAUAGCCAUUGGUAAAGUCUUGGCUAAAUCUUCAGACGCAAAAUUACUUCCGCUACAGAACAAUAAAAAACAUACUCAGUCUUGCAGUAAUACUAGUUCAUCUUUAUUACUUGAACAUAUUCCAAGAGAAAGUAGUACAAUGACGAUACCGUCUUCAAUGACUUUAGAAUCUGCACACGAAAGUAAAAAAGGACUAGAAAAAUUCAGCAGUAUUGCAUCAUUGUGAGUGAGCAAUAAUGAAAUCAUUAUACAUUUUACUUUUAUAGUUUUUGCACAUUUUUUGACAAUAGAAAUUCCACGAUUUUACAUGCCUAUGACUUGUUGCCUCCUUAAGUUGAAGGACUAACAUAAACAAUGAUAGGGACGAAUUAUCUGAUAAUGCUGCCGAUGUAAUUGAAUUUAAAUGCGAUAAAGAAGAAGAAGCAUUUGUAGCUAAACCAAAAAUUUCAAGAACGCCUCCGUGCUUACAUUAAUAAUUGGUGAUUGUCAUUAUUGAUGUACGUGUCAUCUAUCAUAGACGUAUCGGAAUCUUGUUCGUAUCCUACAGGAGGAAAUGACAAUGGAACUUUAGCAGGAUAGUUUCCAGAUAUAAAUUCGGUAUGAAAAGAUCCUUCAUGUUGAUGGUCGUUUGAAAAUUGAGACGAAUCAAAAUGCCUGUACUUUCCAAAAUCAGACUCUUGGUUGCUAUUAUUAACAGAAUAUUUCCCAAAAUGAUAAGGCAAUUGUUCUUUUGCAAAAUUAAAAUUAUUAUUAUAAUUUUCAUAAUUAGGAUCUAUGUAUCCUGGUAAUCCAUUAUUUGUAGAAUAACUAUGUAAAGGUAAAUUACUGACUUCAAA
rnacentral:misc_RNA from 1 species